GAGAAGUCCCUCUUGGGCGCCAGCCGCUUGGGGAAGUGGUUGAAGGCGUAGGGCUUGGUGCAGACCGGAUAGCGGUUGCGGUGGAUCUUGUAGAAGAGGUGGGCCGACUUGUCCAGCCGGUAAUCGCAUAUGUACACGUCCUGUUCCUUCACGCCUUUCGGCCGCCCUGCAGGGUGGGGGGGGAACCGCACUUCCUAAUCAUGCAAACAUCCACGGCCGUGGGCGCGGGAGUGUGAAGUGCGAUACGCGUAUGCAUAGUCGUUCACACAUGACACAGGGCCUUAAAGGACAAACACAUGAGCUGUUAUGUUAUCGAAGGCUUUGGCGUAGAAGACCUCAGAGUACACCCGGUUUAAACGCAUUGCUCAAGGGCAUCGCAUCACUGCAGUUUCAAGUUGAGUGAGGCCAGCCAACCAAAUCUGUUCCCUGAUCGCACGGAUGACUUCAGGAUUUCAACCGACAACUCUCCCUCAGUGUAAGAGUACAUUAAUGUGCGUGUGUGUGUGUGUGUGCGUGUGUGCAUGUGUGCGUGCGUUUGUGUGUGUGAGCCUGUGCUCUCACCCUUGCAGUAGGUGUACAGGUCCAGGACCUAGCAGUUGCCCACCACUGCCUCCAGGGGGAUGAUCUCGUACAGAGGCAUGCGGAACAGCUCGUUCUGGUAGAAGCGGCGCGACGGGGAGUGGUGCGUCUCGUGGGGCCGGAAGUAGUGGUGACCAAAAGCAAACCGCUCACCCCUUCACACUUCUCGUUCUUCCAGAGCUUUUCAAUGCGGAAGAUGUCCAGGUUGUCUCUGUUGACGUGAGUCAAGAGCCGGUAUGACUGUCUGAUCGGCUGGCCCUCGGUGGUGCGUCUGCUAUCCCUCAUCAGAUGCAGCGGAUGACGUCGUCGUCCUUGUCGUGCGAGCCGCCGUGGUGGGCGUGGUCGCGAUCCAGCGAAUCAGAGCUGUCCGCCUCGCUGGCCGUCUCGCCUACAAUCUCGUCGAUCUGCACGGCGGCCUCGUGGCGUGCGCUGUAGUACGCCUUCCUCAGCCGGUUGACGUCGCGGCCCAGCGAGGACUUUCUGCCGUAGUACCUCUGUGGGGCAGCAGGGGGGUCGGGUCAUGACUA
ensembl:lncRNA